UGGGGAAUUUUGGACAAUGGGCGCAAGCCUGAUCCAGCCAUGCCGCGUGUCUGAAGAAGGCCUUCGGGUUGUAAAGGACUUUUGUCAGGGAAGAAAAGGCUGUUGCUAAUAUCGACAGCUGAUGACGGUACCUGAAGAAUAAGCACCGGCUAACUACGUGCCAGCAGCCGCNAUUAAUACGUAGGGUGCGAGCGUUAAUCGGAAUUACUGGGCGUAAAAAGCGAGCGCAGACGGUUACUUAAGCAGGAUGUGAAAUCCCCGGGCUCAACCUGGGAACUGCGUUCUGAACUGGGUGACUAGAGUGUGUCAGAGGGAGGUAGAAUUCCACGUGUAGCAGUGAAAUGCGUAGAGAUGUGGAGGAAUACCGAUGGCGAAGGCAGCCUCCUGGGAUAACACUGACGUUCAUGCUCGAAAGCGUGGGUAGCAAACAGGAUUAGAUACCCUGGUAGUCCACGCCCUAAACGAUGUCAAUUAGCUGUUGGGCAACUUGAUUGCUUAGUAGCGUAGCUAACGCGUGAAAUUGACCGCCUGGGGAGUACGGUCGCAAGAUUA
rnacentral:rRNA from 1 species